AGUUCAGAUUGCAGGCUGAAACUCGCCUGCAUGAAGUCGGAAUUGCUAGUAAUCGCAGAUCAGCAUGCUGCGGUGAAUACGUUCCCGGGUCUUGUACACACCGCCCGUCACACCAUGGGAGCCGGUAAUACCCGAAGUCAGUAGUCUAACCGCAAGGAGGACGCUGCCGAAGGUAGGAUUGGCGACUGGGGUGAAGUCGUAACAAGGUAUC
rnacentral:rRNA from 1 species